GCAGCAGCAGCAGCAUUAGCGAGGCAGGCAGCUUAAAUAGAGCGGCAUGUUUAGGAGAAUGUGUUAGGUUGGGUGUAAGAGGGACGAGCGCGUCACGUGUUAAUGUAUCAUUGGUGCUCGAGUUGACUGCCUGAACUAGCUUGCAGGCUUCACCCCAUAUUAUAGAUAUUUUCAUUCUACUAAACUGACUUCAUGGUGUCUUUUUCUUCUUUACCUGGAACACCGAGUGCAAGUACAUCUGACAUCAACGAAGACGGUGGCUUCUGGAGAUCCUGAAGAACUUACGGACUGCGAGGACAUUCAUCUGACAUCAAUGAAGACGGUGGCUUCUGGAGUUUCUGAAGAACUUACGAGUGAAGAGACGAUCCCCCCCCCCCCCCCCCCCCCCGCCACGCCAUCAAUUAAGACCCCGGCUGCCUAUGUUUCUGAAAAACUUGUGGACGUUUUCAGCCUUGGGGAAGUAUAGCAGACUUAGCAGCCUUAGGGACGUAUAGCAGACUUAACAGACUAUCGAUGUGGCUGCAGUGAGAGCCCACAGCCACUUAGCAGACUUAGCCGACUUGGGGCGGUGGCUGGGGUGCCGAGCGGCCCCCCCCAGCCACGUCAGCCCCCCCGACU